rnacentral:rRNA from 1 species
AACGAACGCUGGCGGCAGGCUUAACACAUGCAAGUCGAGCGCCCCGCAAGGGGAGCGGCAGACGGGUGAGUAACGCGUGGGAACGUACCCUUUUCUACGGAAUAACGCAUGGAAACGUGUGCUAAUACCGUAUGCGCCCUUCGGGGGAAAGAUUUAUCGGAAAAGGAUCGGCCCGCGUUGGAUUAGCUAGUUGGUGGGGUAAAGGCCUACCAAGGCGACGAUCCAUAGCUGGUCUGAGAGGAUGAUCAGCCACAUUGGGACUGAGACACGGCCCAAACUCCUACGGGAGGCAGCAGUGGGGAAUAUUGGACAAUGGGCGCAAGCCUGAUCCAGCCAUGCCGCGUGAGUGGUGAAGGCCCUAGGGUUGUAAAGCUCUUUCACCGGUGAAGAUAAUGACGGUAACCGGAGAAGAAGCCCCGGCUAACUUCGUGCCAGCCGCCGCCGUAAUAC